rnacentral:rRNA from 1 species
UACGGAGGAUGCGAGCGUUAUCCGGAUUUAUUGGGUUUAAAGGGUGCGUAGGUGGUAGAUUAAGUCAGCGGUGAAAGUUUGUCGCUUAACGAUAAAAUUGCCGUUGAAACUGGUUUACUUGAGUAUAGUUGAAGUAGGCGGAAUGCGUGGUGUAGCGGUGAAAUGCUUAGAUAUCACGCAGAACUCCGAUUGCGAAGGCAGCUUACUAAGUUAUAACUGACACUGAAGCACGAAAGCGUGGGUAUCAAACAGG